AUAUACUACAGAGUACCUUUCACAGUCUUUCUGAAGCUGCAGAGCUGUGGCAUAGAAGCUUUCUAGGAUAUGGAAGUUUGGUUUGUAUCAGGAAGAAAAUAGAUGCGAUAUACAUGUUUGGAUACUUCAUGAAUAUUAAUGAUAGUGCAUGAAAAUAACCAGAGAUGAGGGAGCAGAGCACUUGGCUGAUGGUGUUUAUUCCUGACAUUUUCUCUUCCUGGCCACAGUUCCUGAUUCAGGAGAACUACAGGCUUAGGGAUGAUGAAAUACAUCAAGGACAUCCUCAAAGAGAAGAUUACGUGAAGCAAUUGUCACUGCUUUGAAUCAACAGGAACUUUUAAGACAGCAUUCUUCUUCUGAAAAUGGAUCCUCAUUCUCUAGUCAUCUGGAAACCAUUUCUCAUGCAAAUAGUUGCCUUUAGGACCCACCAAAGUAGAACUUUGGCUGGAGCUCAUCAACUUCAAAUGAGAAGUAACACUUUCCAUAAGGAGCUCCUUGGCUCAUACUCUUCCAGCCCAGAAGCCUCAGGUUUCACUGGACAGUUGUACCAUCAGAGACCUUCAGUUGCCCAGGCUGCUAGGCCAACUGACAUCAGCACCAGGGUCAACAGAGAUCAAGGGAAGCAAGUGGGAUCCUUGCCAUGAAUGCCUUCUUCAGUGAAACUCUUUCUGAUAGAAAUAAAGCUAUAUCCUCAAGAAACAGUUGACAUGCAGAAUCAAAACAAACAGCACACGAG